ACAGAGGGUGCGAACGUUGUUCGGAAUUACUGGGCGUAAAGCGCGUGUAGGCGGCUAUGCAAGUCGGGUGUGAAAGCCCUGGGCUCAACCGAGGAAGUGCACUCGAAACUGCAUAGCUCGAGUUCCGGAGAGGAUGGUGGAAUUCUCGGUGUAGAGGUGAAAUUCGUAGAUAUCGAGAGGAACACCGGUGGCGAAGGCGGCCAUCUGGACGGAAACUGACGCUGAGACGCGAAAGCGUGGGUAGCAAACA
rnacentral:rRNA from 1 species